rnacentral:rRNA from 1 species
AGUGAACGCUGGCGGUAGGCCUAACACAUGCAAGUCGAACGGCAGCACAGGAGAGCUUGCUCUCUGGGUGGCGAGUGGCGGACGGGUAAGGAAUACAUCGGAAUCUACCUUUUCGUGGGGGAUAACGUAGGGAAACUUACGCUAAUACCGCAUACGACCUACGGGUGAAAGUGGGGGACCGCAAGGCCUCACGCGAUUAGAUGAGCCGAUGUCCGAUUAGCUAGUUGGCGGGGUAAUGGCCCACCAAGGUGACGAUCGGUAGCUGGUCUGAGAGGAUGAUCAGCCACACUGGAACUGAGACACGGUCCAGACUCCUACGGGAGGCAGCAGUGGGGAAUAUUGGACAAUGGGCGCAAGCCUGAUCCAGCCAUACCGCGUGGGUGAAGAAGGCCUUCGGGUUGUAAAGCCCUUUUGUUGGGAAAGAAAUCCUAUCGGUUAAUAACCGGUGGGGAUGACGGUACCCAAAGAAUAAGCACCGGCUAACUUCGUGCCAGCCGCCGCAGUAACAC